ensembl:lncRNA
AAACACACACACACACACACACACACACACACAUUCUCACAUAACACCCACACACACACACUUACAUACAGUGCCUUGUCUUUGUAACCAAAGGGGGUUGCAAGGGGAGGUGUUUUGUAAACUAUUGUUUGAAGUUUGUCAAUAAAAGGCGGCGAGAGGAGGCCACCAGCGUGGUCAUUUCAACGUGCUGGUCACAGACGAGAGGCCUCCCUUGCGCAAGAAAUCGAUCGAACACUGUUGCCUUGCUUUUCUUUCAUGGGAAUAAGUCCUGGAUACAGCGGGGUCUGAGUUUAGACCCAACAGUUUUCUUUUGUUUUUUUUAAGGAAAUCUAAAAAAUUAAAACCAGAAUAAAUAUCAGUCUGUCAUCAACCUUUUCUUCCAUUUUUCUGAAUGAUUCACAGAUGUGUUAAAGCAUAGCAUGCCCACCCUCUUAUGGUUACUUACAGUAUAAACAGCAUCACAUAAGUCAGUGAUUCUUAACCAUGGGGCUGCGAGCCACACCUUAAGAGCCGCAAAAUACUUUUGGUUAUUGUUCCCUGUCCAUGACAAUCUCAGUCUCAAUACAGCUUCACACCAUUUGGUGGGAGUUGUUUAAACAGCCUCAAAAAGCAAGAAGAAGAAGACAGUCUGCCUGCUGUUUGCAGUUAGCAAAAUAUAUGGAGAAGUUCUUAAAAUGCAAAAAGGAAGAUAAAGGGGGUUGUACUUUUGUGCAAGUACAGCUUUGACUUCCUGAAGCAUGCGGUUUGUGAACAGAGGAAAUGAGGCGGACCCGAGAGCCCAAUGUGUGGAGUAAUGCUAUACAUUGAAGCACUGAAUUGAUUUGGCCUGCCACUGUAUAUAUGUGCCAUGAGAUCAUCGGAGGGGCUGCUGCAAAGAACACUCAAACGACACUGCGAGCCACCGUAUCAUGGACAUGACCUUAGACAUACAGCAUCAGCUUCUAGAAAGAAUAAAAAUACUAUCUUUGUCUCUUUACAACUAGAUCAGUCCCUUUUUUCUCUUUCGUUGUAGUAAAAUUGAAUUAUUAAUUAUUUUUGUGUUAUUAACCUUGACUUGAGCCUUUCAAUUUCUACUUGCAGUUUGAUUUGUUUCAUGAAUUGUUGACCUGUUUGGCAUUUUGUUUUAUUUCCAGGUUCACAUACAUGUAAUAAAUAAAUGUCUUAUUACAUUGUAUAAUGUCGUCAUCAUCAUGUUUAUUUGGCAAGGUUUUAGCUUUUAAGAUCAGGUGGAAUUGAUUUAUUUAUUAAAUAUAAAUCAAACCAAAAGCAAAAUUAAUUUAUUCAAUACAGUGUUAAUAUGUGAAUGGGCCCUGGUCCACUUUGUAGUGAAAACGUCAGGCCCUGAGAUAAAAACAAAACAAAAAAAACAAAAUGUAAGAACCCC